rnacentral:rRNA from 1 species
GUGGGGAAUUUUGGACAAUGGGCGCAAGCCUGAUCCAGCCAUUCCGCGUGCAGGAUGAAGGCCUUCGGGUUGUAAACUGCUUUUGUACGGAACGAAAAGCCUCUGGUUAAUACCCGGGGGUCAUGACGGUACCGUAAGAAUAAGCACCGGCUAACUACGUGCCAGCAGCCGCGGUAAUACGUAGGGUGCGAGCGUUUAUCGGAAUUACUGGGCGUAAAGCGUGCGCAGGCGGUGAUGUAAGACAGUUGUGAAAUCCCCGGGCUCAACCUGGGAACUGCAUCUGUGACUGCAUUGCUGGAGUGCGGCAGAGGGGGAUGGAAUUCCGCGUGUAGCAGUGAAAUGCGUAGAUAUGCGGAGGAACACCGAUGGCGAAGGCAAUCCCCUGGGCCUGCACUGACGCUCAUGCACGAAAGCGUGGGGAGCAAACAGGAUUAGAUACCCUUGUAGUCC